UACCAGACUCCUACGGGAGGCAGCAGUGGGGGCUCUUGCACAAUGGGGGCCACCCUGAUGCCGCGACGCCGCUUGCGUUAAGAAGUCCUUCGUUACGUAACGCUCUCUCAGCAGGGCCGCCAAUGACGGUCCCUGACUAAGACGCCCCGGCUAACUACGUGCCAGCAGCCGCGGUCAUACGUAGGGGGCCCGCGUUAUCCGGAAUUACUGGGGGGAAAGGGAGCGCAGCCGGCAGUGCAAGUCUGGAGUGAAAGCCCGUGGCUUAACCACGGGACUGCUCUGGAAACUGUGCAGCUAGAGGGCAGGAGAGGCAGGCGGAAGUCCUAGUGGAGCGGUGAAAUGCGGAGAGAUUAGGAGGAACACCGGUGGCGAAGGCGGCCUGCUGGACUGGAACUGACGGGGAGGCGCGAAAGCGGGGGGAGCAAACAGGAGGAGAUACCCGCGUAAC
rnacentral:rRNA from 1 species